CGUCCCAGCCCCAUUUAACUGCUCGGCGGCGGCAGCGACUGCGGCGCCGCGGGCUGGAGGCCGGCGUCGGGGAACGUCCUGGUCCCGGAUUCCGCACGAGGUGUUGACGGCGCCGCUCCCGCCCGCCUCUCCGCCGCGCGCGCCCGGCCCGCGCCGCCCGGGCUGCACGUUCCAGAAGCGUCCACCGCGCAAGGUUCAAGAGAGAUCCCCAGGAGACUGGACCCCAUGGCUUCCUGGCAGAGCUCCUGGUGGCUGCUGAUACGGACAGUCUUCAUGCCCUCUGCCCUCCUGCAGGCCACAGCAGAGAAGUCCCCCGGAGCCUACUUCCUUCCUGAGUUUGCACUCUCCCCUCAGGGAAGUUUUCUCGAAGACACAACGGGGGAGCAGUUCCUCACUUACCGCUAUGAC